CUUAUAAUCAUGACAUAACAUGCUUCCUGAAUUUUCAUUCAAAUUCUCGAUUAUGUAUCAUUUGUCCUUGAAAAAUAUGAGAAGGAUAUGUUCUGUUAUGUAUGUAUAGUAAAAGUAGUGUAUUAUUUUAAGUGUUCUGCAAUGUAAAGAUAUUUAGAAGACAUUAAUGCUCUAUUUAGCAUUUCAAAUUGUAUAAUUCUUGGAUAUGUGAUAUAUAGGUAAUAUUCUAAACAAGUUUCUGCUACAUUUUAUGUUCCCAUUGACUUGAUACAGAAUCUUCUGUAUCUCCAAUGACGUCAAAUUAAUUGAACAUAUGUUUUUGCUAUCUGGCUGUUUAAACAUUAUGUUAUUGAUUAAAACAAGUUUGAGUAGAACUAGUUAUGGUAAUAAGAAAUGUCAUGUAAGGUGCAGUAUUAUAUUACAUGCUAUAAACAACUGAUGUAGAAAAAAAUACUUUCUAGUAAAACUUACACUUGUACAACUUCCUCACAUAGAAUAACUUUAUAGUGCUACCCCAUUCCUUCUAGAUAAAUAUUUCAGUUUAAUUCAAAUCAUUCUAAGAAAUGUAAAAAAUUGACCCAACUUAGUAUAUUCCUAAUAUCAGUGCCCUGCAGAUACUAAGAUAUACGAGUAGUGAGAGUGUCUAAAAUCCAUAUCUCAAUUUAAUUGUAAAUAACCUGAUGAGGCCCAAGAACAGGCCUCCCAUAAUAUCCUACCAUGGCUUCAUGACCAUUUAUGUAUUCACUUAUUAAAUAAAUGCAUUUUAAAUGCAUGUGUCAUGACUACCCUGGUCUCUUCUUUUCUACACACUCUGUGAGUUAAGGAAGAGUAUCUAAUUUUUUCCUACUUUGGUGAUCAUUCCUUUAUGACCACAGUGAGAAUAACUCCUAAUUGUUCCUUUGUAUGUGUAAAGGUGAAAAUAUAUUGAAACUUUUAUGUGCAGUUUUUUAAAACCUCUCUCAAUGGUUUUAUGAGUGUUGUCUUUGCAGGUGAUGAAAAUAGAAAAUUUAUUUUAAAAAUUUAUUUAUGACUCCAUCUCACAGAAUGCAGCUUCUGUGAGAAAAGAUCUUCUAAAAUUAUUUCCUUCCAGAUCUUUGUGAUAAAAUAUUUACUCAUAUAAGCCAAUGAUAAUUGACAUUUACCAGUAUUUAAAAUUGAAUCAUAUAUGGAAAUAGAUACAACUUAUGACUAUGAACUAUCCUUGAUCUCUCCUUUCCUUGUGUCUGAGGGAAUAUUUACAUCUGAGAACAAUAUGGAAGGCAUUGAAACAGUUUUCUACAAAAGAUAAAUAGGAAAAAAUACAUAUCUCUACACUUAGUUUCAUCUUAGCAUUUGAUUUGGUGGUAUAUUCAACUGAAUUGUCAUAAUUAUUAUAUGUCUGCCAUACACUGUCUCAGAUAUUUUCCAGUCUUUGUGUUGAACUUAAUGGAUUUGUGUAAUAUUCUCAGUUUAAGUGUCCUUAAA
rnacentral:lncRNA from 1 species